rnacentral:rRNA from 1 species
AGUCAGAUGUGAAAUCCCCGGGCUUAACCUGGGAACUGCAUUUGAAACUGGCAGGCUUGAGUCUCGUAGAGGGGGGUAGAAUUCCAGGUGUAGCGGUGAAAUGCGUAGAGAUCUGGAGGAAUACCGGUGGCGAAGGCGGCCCCCUGGACGAAGACUGACGCUCAGGUGCGAAAGCGUGGGGAGCAAACAGGAAUAGAUACCCUGGUAGUCCACGCCGUAAACGAUGUCGACUUGGAGGUUGUUCCCUUGAGGAGUGGCUUCCGGAGCUAACGCGUUAAGUCGACCGCCUGGGGAGUACGGCCGCAAGGUUAAAACACAAAUGAAUUGACGGGGGCCCGCACAAGCGGUGGAGCAUGUGGUAUAAUUCGAUGCAACGCGAAGAACCUUACCUACUCUUGACAUCCAGCGAACUUUCCAGAGAUGGAUUGGUGCCUUCGGGAACGCUGAGACAGGUGCUGCAUGGCUGUCGUCAGCUCGUGUUGUGAAAUGUUGGGUUAAGUCCCGCAACGAGCGCAACCCAUAUCCUUUGUUGCCAGCGAUUCGGUCGGGAACGCAAAGGAGACUGCCGGUGAUAAACCGGAGGAAGGUGGGGAUGACGUCAAGACAGCAUGGCCCAUACGAGUAGGGGUACACACGUGCUACAAUGGCGCAUACAAAGAGAAGCGACCUCGCGAGAGCAAGCGGACCACAUAAAGUGCGUCGUAGUCCGGAUCGGAGUCUGCAACUCGACUCCGUGAAGUCGGAAUCGCUAGUAAUCGUGGACCAGAAUGCCACGGUGAAUACGUUCCCGGGCCUUGUACACACCGCCCGUGACACCAU